rnacentral:rRNA from 1 species
UGGGGAAUCUUGGACAAUGGGCGCAAGCCUGAUCCAGCCAUACCGCGUGAGUGAAGAAGGCCUUCGGGUUGUAAAGCUCUUUCAGACGGAAAGAAACGGUUACGGCUAAUACCCGUGACUAAUGACGGUACCGUAAGAAGAAGCACCGGCUAACUACGUGCCAGCAGCCGCGGUAAUACGUAGGGUGCGAGCGUUAAUCGGAAUUACUGGGCGUAAAGCGUGCGCAGGCGGUUUGGUAAGACAGAUGUGAAAUCCCCGGGCUUAACCUGGGGAGGUCAUAUCAGACUGCACGUCUAGAAUGUGGUAGAGGAAGGUGGAAUUCCUGGUGUAGCGGUGAAAUGCGUAGAUAUCAGGAAGAACAUCAAUGGCGAAGGCAGCCUUCUGGGCCAUUAUUGACGCUGAGGCUCGAAAGCGUGGGGAGCGAACAGGAUUAGAUACCCGUGUAGUCCCUGAGCGGGCUGGCAAGGCGCAU